rnacentral:lncRNA from 1 species
UCUUUUCUAUUUGUUGGCAUUCGGUUAAAUCGAAUCGGGUGCGCCCAUAAUUGGGCUCGAUCCGACCGUUAUUAUGUUAUCUAAUUGGAUUAGGAUUAAUCUCGCUUUCAAAUUGAAAAACUAAUUAGAGAUAAAUUCUAAUCAUAUUAGGGUAACAAUUUAUAACCGAUUUGGCCUUAUCUCUUAUGCUAUUAGGAUUUUGGAAUCCCUUAUAAAUAUACAAUAAGAAAACAAAAAGAGAGAAACUACAUCCUCCAUUAACCUAUUAUUCUAGAGGGACUUGCACGGUGGAUUUACAAUCGUGCUCGUUUGUAGUUCGAUCCACCGCGGGUUCGGAGUUUUAAAAGACCUACAAGGACGAUCCAAGGACACGUGAAUCAAUCUCUACGAUCCGAGUUCAUCGCAUUGUAAUGCGAAUCGCUUCCGCAAAAAGGUGCGAACGAAUACUUCCGCUGCGUUCUACACUAUUAGUUACUAGAAAAAAUAAUGUGUCCUACAAAAAUCGCACUAGUUCAAACAUCACAUCC